rnacentral:misc_RNA from 1 species
GUGAACGCCCUCACGGGCUUAUACUAUUCCAAACCUCUGUGAACCGUGCCCUUCGGGGCUAUUUUACAAACAUGGUGUAAUGGACGUCAUAUAUCAUAACAAAACA